rnacentral:rRNA from 1 species
UACGUAGGUGGCAAGCGUUGUCCGGAAUUAUUGGGCGUAAAGCGUGCGUAGGCGGUUCGUUAAGUCUGUUGUGAAAGCCCCGGGCUCAACCUGGGAAUGGCAAUGGAUACUGGCGAGCUAGAGUGUGUCAGAGGAUGGUGGAAUUCCCGGUGUAGCGGUGAAAUGCGUAGAGAUCGGGAGGAACAUCAGUGGCGAAGGCGGCCAUCUGGGACAACACUGACGCUGAGGCACGAAAGCGUGGGGAGCAAACAGGG